AGCAACAUCAGCACAAGAACUGUUCGUUAGGAGCUUCAUGAAAUGGGUUUCCAUGGCCAAGCAGCCACAAACAAGCCUAAGAUCACCAUACACAAUGCUAAGCGUCGGCUGGAGUGGUGUAUUGCUCGCCCGCCAUUAAACUGUCUGGAAUGAUGAAUCACCUUUCACCAUCUGGCAGUCCAACAGACAAAUCUGGGUUUGACGGAUGCCAGGAGAAUUCUACCUGCCCGAAUACAUAGUACCAACUGUAAAGUUUGGUGGAUGAGGAAUAAUGGUCUGGGGCUGUUUUUCAUGGUUUGGGCUAGGCACCUUAGUUCCAGUGAAGGGAAAUCUUAACACUACAGCAAACAUUGACAUUCUAGAUGACUCUGUGCUUUCAACUUUGUGGCAACAGUUUGGGGAAGGCCCUUUCCUUUUCAGCAUGACAAUGCCCCAUGGCACAAAGUGAGGUCCAUACAGAAAUGGUUGGUCGAGAUUGGUGUGGAAGAACUUGACUGGCCUGCACAGAGCCCUGACCUCAACCCCAUCGAACACCUUUGGGAUUAAUUGGAAAGUUGACUGGGAGCCAGGCCUAAUCACCCAACCCCACUAAUGCUCUUGUGGCUGAAUGGAAGCAAGUCCCCGCAGCAAUGUUCCAACAUCUAGUGAAAAGCCUUCCCAGAAGAGUGGAGGCUGUUGUAGCAGCUAAGGGGGUACCAACUCCAUAUUGAUGCCCAUGAUUUUGGAAUGAGAUGUCCGACGGGCAGGUGCCACAUACUUUUGGUCCUGUAACGUUAGUGUGUGUAUGUAGUAGGCUACGUAGUCAGUGCUGCAGCGUUGAUGUGUGGAAUGACAGCUUCCUAUAUUCAAAUCCACUGGCGCCGAAGCAAAAGCUAAACUCUGAUAAAUUCGGCCUACUAUCAGAAAGUAUACUGUAGCUCCAAUUUUCCAAACAACUUGUCGUGAUUUUCGUAAGUCAAAAAGUAGCCAACGUUAGAUAGCUAGCUAGUCAUAAACCGGAAGAACGGAUAUCAUAUCAGUAACAUUGGCAUGCAAGCUAUCUGGCUGACUAACAGCUGAGUUAGCUACGUAGCUAAAGUUCGUUACUACAGUCGCGUUUUUGUGCAAGAUUUGAUUUGGCAAGACAUAUACAGCUAGCACUGGGUUGAUGGUUAACGGUAACCCUUGUUUGCGUGGUCAGCUGCUGUACAGUAGUCAGCAAAUGGCUGUUUAAAAACUGUGUUUACAUAGCUACCAAGACACUUUUUAAAAAUCAAUUUCGCCCAGUGCACUGUCUGUUAUGCAAAUUAAUGAACCAUACCUGAAGAAGUUGAGAAAACAUCUAAUUUGACAUAUUUCUUACACUCUACUUUGGUACAGUUCUUUACAGCAAACAAUCAUACACUUCAAAUUGACAAAACUGAUGCUGUUAUUUAACUAUAUAGAUAUUUGACACAACAACAACUUUACAGCUAAGACACGACAGUGACUGAUAGAGUGAGUCUGGCAAGCCACGUGCAUUCUGACCGUAGUUUAAAUGAUCUGGUCCACAAAAACCUUCGCAGUGGAAUUUAUAAUAACAUUACCCAGUACUCAUUUGUUACAAUGAGAAAUUAUUUGGUCAGGUUUGUGUUUACACUGAGAAGAUUGAACAUGGUUCAAAGAAUGUAAUCUAAUGUUUUGCGCAAGACUUUGACUUUAUUUACCAAGGAUGGAUUUAGAAACAUUGUGGCAUUGCAAAGUGAUGCACCCCUGCAGAUGGGCCACAAACAUUACCUGUCUCUUUGGAAUAAUGAGGGUCCUGAAAGCAGAGUAUAGGUUCUAGAUGGUAAAAUGAGAAUUUCAGGUGCUAACUAGUGUGGUAAUUACAAUGGUGAUUACCUGAACCAGACUUACUUUGAGGUCGCAGAACAAAGUGUCACCAUGCCCCUUGUCAUGUAGAAUGAGCUGUGACCCGAGUGGUACCAGAGACUGAAUGUUGGAACUGUGCUCUACCUCCAAAACUACACCCUCAAGCAGAGUAAUCCAAACAGGUCUCGACCUGACAUAGACAACCACAGAAUGAAGAGCUUUCACUCAGUAGAAAUCUGUCUGAAUCUUUGGACUCCCACUGCACUCCUUACUGUGGUUCCAGCCAAGUGUGCAGUCUCAAUGGGGCUUGCCUAAGGUUUCCUACCAGUUCACCUCCAGAUAAGAAUUGAAGAACAAUUCUGCAUGUGAUGUCAUUGGCUUGGUAACUUUUGUGGGUCGGGUGGAGAGAGUCAAGAGUAAGGGGUCCGCAGGCCCAGAAAAAUACUGGACUUACCGCUGGGUCCAUGCAGUGGAACAUCCAAUAGUCCUUUUAUUUUGGAGCUUUCUGCUUCUUCACAACCAGAAAUAUACCAUGGGAUAUACCCAAGCAAAUAUUUUAGUACUAGCUAUAACAGUUAGUAGCUAUAAUACAAACAAUUCCAUAGAUGAGAAAGUGUUAAGAGCAAGACUCACUGCCUUACCUCACCAGCAGCUGCAAGACACAUAUAUUUAAUACCGUUUUCCCUCAGGGUAUCACAAGGGCCAGCCAUACCUGUCAGACCCCAGGGUGAAGCUUCGACCAGUGGACCAAGACUGAAGGACAGCAUUAUGCUGAAGAAGACUGUUGUUGGUGGCCAUUAUUGCUUCCCUCACACCCCUCAGAUAUUCACACAGUCAGUGGCAGAUGGCUCAGCUCAAGUUCUUCUGGUUGCUGCAAAUGACCUAAAGGGAGAUGGAGGGUCUGCAUUAUCGUUAGCACAAGCAGCUGGCAAUCCAAGGUCAGAUCAUUGCUGUGCAGUAUGUGACAUGGCCAGAGGAGGCACUGUCAGACCAGGUAGGCUUUAUUGAUUGCUUUACUGUGGGUUAUACAAUGAACUUAAGGAGGAUCUUUUGGUCAGCUGUCCGGACAAAAUCUAAAUUUUAACAGUCUUGAUGAAAAUAACCAAUUAUGUGACAUUUUAUCAGGUAACAAUAAUGUAAAUGCCUGUGCCAAAGCCUGCCACCUUAUCCUCCAACGGACACUUUAUUUUUAUAAGAGCCUAAUUGUCCUUUUAGCUGCUGUACUUUAUGCAUAAAUGUGUAUAGAUUAUGUAUGGCAUUAUAUAUUACGCCUGUACCAUGUUUGCCUAUGAUUGUAUUUAGUGUUUCAACUCAGUUUGAGUGGUCCAUAAUGUGGUUUUAAAAAACAACAACUGUAUUAUAGUAUAAUUAUGUAGUGACGUCAAUACAUUUCUCUAACUCUAGAUACACUGAGUACACAAAAAACUAAGAACACAUGCUCUGUCCAUGACAGACUGACCAGGUGAAUGCAAUGAUCCCUUAUUGAUGUCACUUGUUAAAUCCACUUCAAUCAAUGUAUAUGAAGCGGAGGUAAAAAUAAAAAUAUAUAUUUUUAAGCUUUGA